rnacentral:sRNA from 1 species
CAAGCUGAGGCAGAUCUGUUUUUUAAUCUCUGAGUGGAAUAAGUAUAUUCAACAAUUAUCAUCAUCUUUUUCAUUUUCAUUUACUGACUGACUUCUGAUAGAUUUUAUUAAACUGUUUCAAGUACUUCUGACUGUUCAUCAAGUUUUUCUCAGAUUCUCAAGAAUUAUCUGUCUUCAACUUUUCAUUCCUCUUGUAUGUCUAUAAUUAUCAGUUCUGCUUGCAGGAUUUGUCUGUCGCACAUGUGAUAUGAUUCAAGAAGAGAAACAUGGAAUACAGAAUGAAUUUCUUUAUAUUGCAGUGUGAGUUUCAGUUUGUACAUCUGUGUACUGCAGAUAUCAAUUAUUUGAAAGAAACUCAAAAAUCAAUGAUCUAGUUUGAGUGAGAAUUGCA